GAGUUUGAUUAUGGCUCAGGAUGAACGCUGACAGAAUGCUUAACACAUGCAAGUCUACUUGAAUUUGGGUUUUUUAACUUCGAUUUGGGUGGCGGACGGGUGAGUAACGCGUAAAGAACUUGCCUCACAGCUAGGGACAACAUUUGGAAACGAAUGCUAAUACCUGAUAUUAUGAUUUUAGGGCAUCCUAGAAUUAUGAAAGCUAUAUGCGCUGUGAGAGAGCUUUGCGUCCCAUUAGCUAGUUGGAGAGGUAACGGCUCACCAAGGCGAUGAUGGGUAGCCGGCCUGAGAGGGUGAUCGGCCACAAGGGGACUGAGACACGGCCCUUACUCCUACGGGAGGCAGCAGUGGGGAAUAUUGGACAAUGGACCAAGAGUCUGAUCCAGCAAUUCUGUGUGCACGAUGAAGUUUUUCGGAAUGUAAAGUGCUUUCAGUUGGGAAGAAAAAAAUGAC
rnacentral:rRNA from 1 species